UGAGUCUGUUUUUAGCUUUAGCCGCGAGCUUCAAACCUCUUCUUCUUCUUCUCGGCGUUGUUGUAUCGGAACAUUAGCGCGAAUGAACGUGUUUCUGUUGAAGUUCCAACAAAAUGAGCACAGAGCAGAGUGUUGACAGUGCAAAUAGUGCCACAGCGCCGGUGGAAGACGACCUAAAGCAAGAAGCAUCAAAGAGAUCUAGAACUCCAUUGUCAAAGUUUAGGAAGGUGAAUUCCCACUUCAAAUCACCUCUUCAAGUAGCAGAAAGUCCUAAAUUGAGUGCCGAAGAGGAGGUGGCAGAACUACAGAGGAAGAAAAGGCAGCUGGAUUCAGAGAUAGCACAGCUGGAGGAACAGGGAUAUAGAGUUGAAGAGCUAGACCAGCAUAUUGAUAAGUUGCAUGAAUACAAUGACAUCAAAGACAUUGGACAGACUCUUCUGGGCCGUAUUGUGUUCCAGUCGUCUGACGGCUUCAUUCAGCAGGAAACUGUACCAAGUCACAAAGUUCAGAUCAUCGCACGCCGACUUCUUGAAGAUGAAAUUGAUCUUACUUUAUCCAGGGACCUCAAGAUCUCACCAGAUCUCAAUUUAAUAGCACACCUUUGCUAUGUGAGGGAACGGGAGGUUAACUUCAGGAAUAAGCAGCCGAAAUAUCUGCAGCAACUCUGUGAUGCCAACUUGUCCAUAUCGACAAGGUUUCCAACAACCUCGCCAUGAAGAACAAGGGCAGUUCUUUAAAAAAGAAAAGUAAAAGAAGGUCCAACCUGAUGUCAGCAAGGUGUACCUAAUAAUGUGGCCAUGGAGUGAGUGUUUAUGUAUGUGUUAUUUUUAUUCAUAAUAAUGUUAUUGUCUUUUCUGGUGGAACUAUACAUCUAUCCAAAUCAUAGUUAUUCACAGACCUAGAUUAUCACAAAAGCCAUAACUGUUUAUAUACCAGCAUGUUUUAUCUCUUCUUACAUUUCUGCGUGUUUGAUUUAGUUUAAAAGUUGAUGUUUAAUCUUUGGCUUUUUAAUUAACCCUGGUGUCACCUUCGCAAACAUUUGUUCAAAUGUUGCCUUGAGGACGCUUUUACCUGUUCUGUUAACCAUCAAUUUGACAGGACACUAAUGUAAACAAGAUCUUUGAUAUGAAUUUGUUUGGGGUUUAUUUUUGGCUUUAAUGAACUUAAUAGUUUUCCACUGGAAGGAAAAGCUGGGUGAGAGGAGAGGUUAAAUGCCUAUUCAACAUAUAGUAGAAGCCCUCAACAGUAAUUCUAGGAACAGGCAAAAGUAUUUAGCUGUUUGCAUUGAAAAGCAAUGGAGUACAGAAAGAACAAGAGACCUCUGUGUGUGUUUGAAGACCCUGCCUGCUGUAUUCCUGAAAAGCUAAUGCUAACAUAUGUACAAUGUCUCAGAUUUACUGCCAUUAAAAUCAAUCUGCAGAACAGUCGUAUCAAACAAAUAGUCUCUUACUUUAACACUGAUAAUUCUGUUAUACCUGCAUCGCUUAUUCAUUCUGUGUUGUCAAAUGUUCCUUUUCUUACCCUGCAGCGUUAGACGUGGUGCCGGCUGCUUAGAUAGAAUGGUAUCUUAAUUGAUCUCUAAAUGUGAACUACUCUGAGCUAAGAAAGCUGCUUUUUCUUUAUUUGUGGUAGGAUGGUCAUCAUGAGAUAGUGUUAACAAUUUUUUUUUUUUUUAUUGUUUUUCAUUUUCGUUCACCCAAUUUGAUCUCUAACAGUGGUAAAUAAUAAACCAGUAGUCAAAGCAGCUCUCCCCUACAAUACUUUCUUCACACUCCGUUAGAUCAACGGACUUACCUACUAUGAAAUGCUAAAGCUGAAGGUUUGUUCAGAUGUUCUUAAAAGAGCAAUUAUUUGCGUUCUUUCGUCAAAAAGAAUGAAAAUGUAUAUUCAAAUGGCCAAGAAUGCAAAACGUAGUGUGGCGCCGGUAACAUUUUAACACGGUGGUUGUUGGGUUUUUUUUGUCUAUCCCCAUGUUGAGCGCUGGUGUGGAUGUCCCACGCUGUGAUCUUGGUCUGCUGCUCUGAGGGGGACCACCACGCGAGAACUCUACGCACACUUUGGUCUUGAACUGGACGACUGAAGACGAGAGCCUGCGAAGUGCAGUUAUGACUGCUUCACCAAACCCGUUAAAGAAUAUAAAAGUUAGGCAGAAGCAGCUAAUUUAAAAGCAAUAUGCUUUGGAACUAUAUGUCCUUUUUUAUUUUCCUUUUUUUGUAUAUAUAAUUAUUUAAUGAGAUGGGGGGGUUAGUUGAGUUUAACAGAUCUACAAUCCGAUCUGAAUAAUGCCAGAGACAACAAGGAGGUAAUGGGCAUUGUUCAGCAUGUAUGUUAUUUAAAGCAUGCUUGCUAUUCUGACAUUUGGCUCACGGCAAGUUACUGCGUAGUAACAGAGACAUUUUUUCCAACCCCCGGUUUGUCUAAGGUGUGAGAGGAUGUUAAGUGUAUUUCUGCGGUAGCGUACAAGAAAUCGUUUCCUCACAUUUGAAAUGGCAUGAAUUGAUUGCUUAGAGAAACACGACAGCACAGAUGUCACUGUUGUUCUUGUUAAAAGCUCAGAGCUCUUUAUGUAAUUUCCUCUAUAUAGACUAAUUUGUAAUAAUAAAACACACAAAGCAUCAAAAAG